AGAGUUGUUGACACCACCUGGAAAUUUAUCUGUGUCACUGGGGUCACCUGAGUAGUGCAAAUUGGUGUGGAGCCUUCUUGGAACUGCAGGAGGGCCAGUCAGAG